rnacentral:misc_RNA from 1 species
GCCAUGGUGUCAUUGAGCUUGGAUACCCAUAUUGUGGGAAGUAUCCACAUGCAGUUUCAUGUACUUGUGGGUAAUCCUUAGAAGAAUCAAGAAUUAGGUCAGGCGAGACCCAAACACUUGAAGAACUGAUAUCUAUUGAAAGGGGCUCAAAUUCAGCCAUUGGUGUGAGUUGAUAUGGAGAAGCAGUAGGGCUUGAAAAACGGCUAUCAUUAUGCAGGUAGAUUGCUUGAGAAGAAAUGUCACUAGAGACGCUCAAGUGCUCAUUGGAGAUUCCCGCUGAGGUGAACUCUCCAUUGUCUGAGCUGCUCCCAACGGUCUUGGUUUUAGGUUCUCCAAGUGAAUCACUUGUCUUGUGCGUUUGCUCAUUCUUCUUAACAACACGGCACAGAGCAAAAG